UUUCGCCGGUCAUUCUGUUGGCAUCUUCAGAGCUUAGCUGAAACUAGUUUGGGGUUAAUUUUCUUUCGUGGUUCAGAAAUUUUAUGAAUUCUCGGAUUUUUCUUUGUUCAACGAAUUGAUUACGUGUAAAAACUUGGUGGAAUGAGAUUUGAUAUCCGGUUUCAGGAUUGUGUCCAGUAAUUGCAGAUGAGUUUAUUUGUCGUAGACUUACAGGUUUUCUGGUGUUCUUUUAGCCUAGUAGAUAUUAUUCGUCUUGUCUCUUCAAUGUAUUCUUGCGGUGUCUCAAACCGAGUUUUGCUUUUAACAGAUCGAGAAUAUUGGGAGAUUUUUGGACAAGUGGUAAAUCUGGUGAUAACAUAAUGUUUCUUGACAACUUUUGAUAUGUGGUCAGUUAUGUUCUGAAUGUAGAGAAGGACCACACUAGCUUUCGGGUUUAUUUUCUUUGGGAGGUUGCAGAUAAGUAUAUUUUGUGACACUUCUCUUAUUUGAGAGAGAAGAGAGAGCGCAGAGUUUUAAUUUUGAGUCAGCGAUUGGGUUUGAGAGUUUUAGGGUUCUGCAAACAAAGGAGUUGAUAACCGCUAACUUCUGAACCGGAUGACGAUGUGAUAAUGCAUUAAGGCUUCGGCCUGUGUGCGUAAGUUUUCUCUAGACUAAGAAUAGAAUAUAGACUAAGAAUAUCUAAGAAUGAGAGAACCUAUCUUAGGAUUUAUCGAGUUUUAAUGGUCGAGAAAAUCUCGGAGGAAUGCUUAAAUAUGAUGCCAAUAAAAGUAUCAUUAUCUAUAGUUUUAGUUUUACAUGCUAAAUGUCGAAGACUCUCUUCUCAACGGGCUGAUGAUAAUGAAGGAUCCAUUGCUGUUCCUGAUGCUUGUUGUUUCUCGGUUAAAUCUGAAAUUGUAAUGAGAGUUUUAUAAAUGGAGUCUGUAUCAAAACUAACCAGAAUAUCGUUUGCACCUAAUGUAAUGGUUUUUAAAGUAAACACUAUCAGUUUUUCCUGUAAAGGGUUUUUAUGGAGAAAGUAGAUAUUAUGCUAGAGAAUACAUUGAAGAACCAAUAAUGCUAACAAUUAGUCGAAGUGGCAGCUGCUGUGAAAAAUUAAAUUGAAUCUCGAUAUUUAUGAAUAUUGCGACGUAGACCAGUAUCUUUUUAAGUCGGCGCGGGUAAAGAAGACACAGAAGCUCCAGUCGGGUACCAUCGGUAAAGUAGGCGACUGAUAUAUUUCCACCACUACAUAUGUUGGAUUGGAAUUUCCCAUUUGAUGGUUUGACUGACUAAAUGAGAAAACUUGAAGAUAUUAUUGCUGAUGGUCAGGCGAACAAUAUGAUCAUAUCAAGUCUCAUUGCCACCUUUGGGACCGCCAUUGCUUUUCUUACAUUGGUGUUUGCUUAUGGGUCAAGUCGGCGGGGUCUACAGCCAUUGUGGGGGAGCUAGGGAGUCGUGGGGAAGGAGGACACGCCCACCAAAGUAGAGGAGUGGGAUUCUCCCAGAGCAUACAUAUCUCUACUUGUUUGAUGGGCUAGGUCUUACCCAUAAAGCAAAAAGUAUAAACCAGGAAUUUCUUAUUUGUGCUUCACUUAAGGGAACUGCAUUUCCAUCCAGUAGCUUUGCAACUGGACCUGGUCGUACCUAUGAAGCCCAAAGUACAAGUCAAGAUUUUGUUCUUUGUGUUCCGUUUAAGAAAACUGCAAAAACAGUGGGCACUUUUUAUUUUAUAAAAAAAAUAUUUAUUGAAAUAGAAUACAGAUACUGCCAUCAUAAAAUUUUGGAUAAAUCAAAGUGUUGUUUUUUGUCAUAGCUUCCAAACUCAUUACUUCUGAGAAAACUUUGGAGGAUAAUUUGUUCAACAAACUGUUUGAUGUAAUCUUUUAUGUAUUCCAAGAAUAGCUUUCGCAACAGUCACAUCUUGUAGACCUCGUGAUUAGAUAUCGGAUAGUAAUAACCUGACAUUCUUCCAUCAACGGCUAACAUAAGUCUUGCCAGGGUGCUACCAAGUUCAUAUGCUACGGCUGCUCUAAGUUCAUAUGCUCAAUGGCACUGAGACUCGUGUUACAUGCUGUCUGUGCAAUGUGAGGUCUAUUAUCAUGCAUUAAUGUAAAAUGGAACAACCUUUUGGAGGAUAUGUAAUGAUGUUAGAGCUCCAUUUUCAAAAAAUACAAGAUUUGUAAAUCGCACUUUCUUCUACAAUCUCACUCGUUAGCCCAAGGGAUUGAAGCACUGCUUCCGCCAAUCUUCUAAGUAUAGUUGUUACAUUACUUACAUUUACAGGUUGUUUAUUAGAGGCACAGCAGUAGAUGUUUGAUAUCUUAAAGAACUAAUAUGAGAAAGCGAUCAUCCGCUGCAGUAGUUUAUCUCCUUCUGUCAGAGCUUUCCGUCUGUAAAUACACAUUCCAAGCAUUUCGAACUGUAGACCGAGGAAUUCUCAGAGUAUUGAAGACAUAACUUUUACUACGGCCAUCCGUAAUUAAGGCAACAAUUCGACCUAUCUCUGCGGUAGUUAAUACCAUGAUGACAACUAAAUAAAUUAUUGCUCUACUGCAACUGCCAAACAUUCUGUCACCACAAUGACAUACUUAGCCACCGUCGAUUGUCUCAUACAAGGAGUAGUGAUAAUGGUUUUAUUCAAAAAAUAAAAGAUUUAGGAUACAUAAAGGAUUAUAGCAAACAAGUUGAAACCCACAUUAUCAACCUAAAUUUUCCCACAGGGCGUUUUGAAGCUUUGAUAAAAAAAUGUUUUAUUUUAGUCCCUAUGAUACUGCCCAAAACAAAAAAAAACUAAAAUAACAAGAAACAAUUAAAAUUAAUCGAUUUACUAAUUAGCAAAAAAUCCUGAAAAUCGAAUGGAAAAUUAAAAAUUAUCCAAAAUUUUUGGAUGAUGGAAUUUUUUGCCCGAGAGUAUAGCUUUAAAUAAUUAGUUUUUAAGAAACCUAGCAAAAGAAACAUACCUUAUCUUCUUUCACUAUAAUUACGUUUGGGGUGUCAGUUACGCAUUAGACUUACAAUAUAUACCAUUUAUUGUAACAUCUUUCUGACAUUAAACAAAUCACAACAGAACUUUUAUCUUUUGGGAAUUUACUUAGUUUUAGUAUCCGAAAUGGAAACUUGACAUAGAUGUUGUGGAAAAUGAUAUUGAUACAAUACAUGUUCCUUUUGCUUU